rnacentral:rRNA from 1 species
AGCUUUCGGGCUUCGACCGGCGUACGGGUGCGUAACGCGUAUACAAUCUGCCUUUCACAUAGGGAUAGCCCGAAGAAAUUUGGAUUAAUACCUAAUGGUAUAUAGAUGUGGCAUCACCUUUAUAUUAAAGCUGAGGCGGUGAAAGAUGAGUAUGCGUUCUAUUAGCUAGUUGGAGAGGUAACGGCUCCCCAAGGCUACGAUAGAUAGGGGUUCUGAGAGGGAUAUCCCCCACACUGGUACUGAGAUACGGACCAGACUCCUACGGGAGGCAGCAGUGAGGAAUAUUGGACAAUGGUCGGAAGACUGAUCCAGCCAUGCCGCGUGCAGGAAGACGGCCUUAUGGGUUGUAAACUGCUUUUGCAGGGGAAGAAUAAGGACUACGAGUAGUUUGAUGACGGUACUCUGCGAAUAAGCAUCGGCUAACUCCGUGCCAGCAGCCGCGGUAAUACGGAGGAUGCGAGCGUUAUCCGGAAUCAUUGGGUUUAAAGGGUCCGUAGGCGGGCUAAUAAGUCAGAGGUGAAAGCGCUCAGCUCAACUGAGCAACUGCCUUUGAAACUGUUAGUCUUGAAUGGUUGUGAAGUAGUUGGAAUGUGUAGUGUACGCGGUGAAAUGCUUAGAUAUUACACAGAACACCGAUAGCGAAGGCAUAUUACUAACAAUUAAUUGACGCUGAUGGACGAAAGCGUGGGGAGCGAACAGGAUUAGAUACCCUGGUAGUCCACGCUGUAAACGAUGGAUACUAGCUGUUUGGUUGUAAGACUGAGUGGCUA